rnacentral:rRNA from 1 species
GAUGAACGCUGGCGGCGUGCCUAAUACAUGCAAGUCGAGCGAACAGAUAAGGAGCUUGCUCCUUUGACGUUAGCGGCGGACGGGUGAGUAACACGUGGGUAACCUACCUAUAAGACUGGGAUAACUUCGGGAAACCGGAGCUAAUACCGGAUAACAUUUGGAACCGCUUGGUUCUAAAGUGAAAGAUGGUUUUGCUAUCACUUAUAGAUGGACCCGCGCCGUAUUAGCUAGUUGGUAAGGUAACGGCUUACCAAGGCAACGAUACGUAGCCGACCUGAGAGGGUGAGCGUCCACCCUGGAACGGAGACACGGUCCAAACUCCAACGGGAGGCAGCAUUAGGGAAUCUUCCGCAAUGGGCGUAGGCCUGACGGAGCAACGCCGCGUGAGUGAUGAAGGGUUUCGGCUCUUAAAACACUGUUAGUAGGGAAGAACAAACAUGUAAGUAACUGUGCACGUCUUGACGGUACCUAAUCAGAAAGCCACGGCUAACUACGUG